GACGAACGCUGGCGGCGUGCCUAAUACAUGCAAGUAGAACGCUGAAGGAGGAGCUUGCUUCUCUGGAUGAGUUGCGAACGGGUGAGUAACGCGUAGGUAACCUGCCUGGUAGCGGGGGAUAACUAUUGGAAACGAUAGCUAAUACCGCAUAAUAGUAGAUGUUGCAUGACAUUUACUUAAAAGGUGCAAUUGCAUCACUACCAGAUGGACCUGCGUUGUAUUAGCUAGUUGGUGGGGUAACGGCUCACCAAGGCGACGAUACAUAGCCGACCUGAGAGGGUGAUCGGCCACACUGGGACUGAGACACGGCCCAGACUCCUACGGGAGGCAGCAGUAGGGAAUCUUCGGCAAUGGACGAAAGUCUGACCGAGCAACGCCGCGUGAGUGAAGAAGGUUGUCGGAUCGUAAAGCUCGGUUGUAAGAGAAGAACGAGUGUGAGAGUGGAAAGUUCACACUGUGACGGUAUCUUACCAGAAAGGGACGGCUAACUACGUG
rnacentral:rRNA from 1 species